AGCGUGGGUAGCAAACAGGAUUAGAUACCCUGGUAGUCCACGCCGUAAACGAUGUCGACCAGCCGUUGGGUGCCUAGCGCACUUUGUGGCGAAGUUAACGCGAUAAGUCGACCGCCUGGGGAGUACGGCCGCAAGGUUAAAACUCAAAUGAAUUGACGGGGGCCCGCACAAGCGGUGGAGCAUGUGGUUUAAUUCGAUGCAACGCGAAGAACCUUACCUACUCUUGACAUCCUGGGAAUUUGGUAGAGAUACCUUAGUGCCUUCGGGAACGCAGAGACAGGUGCUGCAUGGCUGUCGUCAGCUCGUGUUGUGAAAUGUUGGGUUAAGUCCCGUAACGAGCGCAACCCUUGUCCUUAUUUGCCAGCGCGUAAUGGCGGGAACUCUAAGGAGACUGCCGGUGACAAACCGGAGGAAGGUGGGGACGACGUCAAGUCAUCAUGGCCCUUACGAGUAGGGCUACACACGUGCUACAAUGGUCGGUACAAAGGGUUGCCAACUCGCGAGAGUGAGCCAAUCCCGAAAAGCCGAUCUCAGUCCGGAUCGGAGUCUGCAACUCGACUCCGUGAAGUCGGAAUCGCUAGUAAUCGUGGAUCAGAAUGCCACGGUGAAUACGUUCCCGGGCCUUGUACACACCGCCCGUCACACCAUGG
rnacentral:rRNA from 1 species